rnacentral:rRNA from 1 species
GAUGAACGCUAGCUACAGGCUUAACACAUGCAAGUCGAGGGGUAACGAGAGGGAAGCUUGCUUUCCUUGUCGACGACCGGCGCACGGGUGAGUAACGCGUAUCCAACCUGCCCACAACUAGGGAAUAACCUCGCGAAAGUAAGACUAAUACCCUAUAAUUUCCUCAGAUGUCAUCUGACGAGGAAUAAAGAUUUAUCGGUUGUGGAUGGGGAUGCGUCUGAUUAGCUUGUUGGCGGGGUAACGGCCCACCAAGGCAACGAUCAGUAGAGGUUCUGAGAGGAAGGUCCCCCACAUUGGAACUGAGACACGGUCCAAACUCCUACGGGAGGCAGCAGUGAGGAAUAUUGGUCAAUGGGCGGAAGCCUGAACCAGCCAAGUAGCGUGCAGGAUGACGGCCCUAUGGGUUGUAAACUGCUUUUAUACAGGAAUAAAGUUAGCCACGUGUGGUUAUUUGUAGGUACUGUAUGAAUAAGGACCGGCUAAUUCCGUGCCAGCAGCCGCCGCAG